GGAUCCUAAAAAAAAUGCGAAAUUACUUAACGCUAUCAUAAACGAUCAUAAACUUUUAGAUAGAUAUUUCGUUGCUUUUUAUACGGUCGUUGGUAUCAAGGUUCAGAGAACCAAUGGAAAACCCGUAUCUACACGUGCACCCAACGAUGAUUUUCAUGAAUCAAGUGCAGGCUAUAACUUGGCCCAAUUAAACGGCUGCUAAGAAUGUAAUCUGCAUGAGUGAAUGACCUUCGAAAAAUUAUUAAGUAGUAAACAAACAUUACGAUCAAGUUGAAUGGAGAUAUUAAGAAUAUAUUUAACCGGCGGAAAGUGAAAGAUGGUGUGUCUGCAGUUUGAUUGAUUUCGUGGAUUGUGCAAGGUGCGUGACUAAAUCUGGGAAUCCUAAGUGCAACCUGUUGCUGACCAAUGAAAAACGCUUAUGUUAGCCCAUUAAAACGGGUUCCAAUGCAGCUUAAUUCGCACUUUGAUCGACAGAUCGAUCAACCUAUGUCAUCUAACCUCAUCAUUCGGAUUGGCUGCGAUUGUUUAUUUAUAGAGCCCUUAGAAUGACAGGGGGAAAAGCAACUAAUCCCUAGUUGAUUGCCCGAAGAGCUGUCAAAUUGGAUGGGUGAUGAAACAUUUCAAUUAUCUGCAACCGUCCCAAUUAAAAGCGAGUUUACAUAAGCGAAAUGUAGCACGCAGUUUACGUUACUCCACAUUUCGCACUGCUGCAAGAGACAAUUAAAUGCGAGUACAUUUAAUGCACAGAUUUGCGAAAAGAUCAAGGUACAGCCGUUGGGGCGGUGGAGGCGGGCAAACAAUAAAACGGCACAAUUGAGUGGAAAUGAAAUGGCAAUCGUGUAUGUUGUCGCUGGCACAUCUGCUAUUGAUCCGCCGAACCCAGAUCCCAGCCGAUCCGAUCCGUACCGAUCCGAACUGAUCAAAACAAAAGCAUUGUCCCCAUCCCAUGGCAUCCCAACAAAUGGAAUAGCCGUUGUCGUAGAUUCUGCUGGUGACGAAGCUUUAGCUAUAAAGAUGGGUUGGUUAAAGAUAAUCCCAGCGAGAUUGAGUUGAAAUUUUAUAGAAUGUAAAUCUGUGUUUAUUAAAUACCAAGUAAUAUAUGUACUUGAA